UCAAACCUGCCAUGCAGAACGACCCGUGAACAAGUCACCUGAACUGGGCGAUGUUGAGCGCCGUAACGGCCCUCGAUGGAACCCGACACCAGGCAAGGGGCUUGCCCUCUAACCUGGUUUAACCUCGAAACCCGGCGUGAGAAACGCCAAGGAAUCUAAACGAGAAACGGUCACCCCGAAAGCGUUGUGCAUGCGACGCGAUUGGGAGGGCCGUGCCUCCACUAUGUCUAUAACGACUCUCGGCAACGGAUAUCUCGGCUCUCGCAUCGAUGAAGAACGUAGCGAAAUGCGAUACUUGGUGUGAAUUGCAGAAUCCCGUGAACCAUCGAGUUUUUGAACGCAAGUUGCGCCCAAAGCCUUCGGGCCGAGGGCACGUCUGCCUGGGUGUCACGCACUCGUUGCCCCCUCUUCCUUCACCCCUAAACGGGCGUCGGGCGGGGGCGGAUUUUGGUCUCCCGUGCGCUCCCGCUCGCGGUUGGCCUAAAACUGAGUCCCUGGCGCCGAGCGUCACGACAAGCGGUGGUUGAAACAUGCCCUCCUGCAAGACGUCGUGUGCGCCCGUCGUCGCUUACCUGGAACUCCGAGACCCACGAACAUCCAUUGCGACCCCAGGUCAGGC
rnacentral:misc_RNA from 1 species